rnacentral:rRNA from 1 species
UGCAGUAGAACGCUGAAGAGAGGAGCUUGCUCUUCUUGGAUGAGUUGCGAACGGGUGAGUAACGCGUAGGUAACCUGCCUUGUAGCGGGGGAUAACUAUUGGAAACGAUAGCUAAUACCGCAUAACAAUGGAUGACACAUGUCAUUUAUUUGAAAGGGGCAAUUGCUCCACUACAAGAUGGACCUGCGUUGUAUUAGCUAGUAGGUGAGGUAAUGGCUCACCUAGGCGACGAUACAUAGCCGACCUGAGAGGGUGAUCGGCCACACUGGGACUGAGACACGGCCCAGACUCCUACGGGAGGCAGCAGUAGGGAAUCUUCGGCAAUGGGGGCAACCCUGACCGAGCAACGCCGCGUGAGUGAAGAAGGUUUUCGGAUCGUAAAGCUCUGUUGUAAGUCAAGAACGGGUGUGAGAGUGGAAAGUUCACACUGUGACGGUAGCUUACCAGAAAGGGACGGCUAACUACGUGCCAGCAGCCGCGGUAAUACGUAGGUCCCGAGCGUUGUCCGGAUUUAUUGGGCGUAAAGCGAGCGCAGGCGGUUUGAUAAGUCUGAAGUUAAAGGCUGUGGCUCAACCAUAGUUCGCUUUGGAAACUGUCAAACUUGAGUGCAGAAGGGGAGAGUGGAAUUCCAUGUGUAGCGGUGAAAUGCGUAGAUAUAUGGAGGAACACCGGUGGCGAAAGCGGCUCUCUGGUCUGUAACUGACGCUGAGGCUCGAAAGCGUGGGGAGCGAACAGGAUUAGAUACCCUGGUAGUCCACGCCGUAAACGAUGAGUGCUAGGUGUUGGAUCCUUUCCGGGAUUCAGUGCCGCAGCUAACGCAUUAAGCACUCCGCCUGGGGAGUACGACCGCAAGGUUGAAACUCAAAGGAAUUGACGGGGGCCCGCACAAGCGGUGGAGCAUGUGGUUUAAUUCGAAGCAACGCGAAGAACCUUACCAGGUCUUGACAUCCCGAUGCUAUUUCUAGAGAUAGAAAGUUACUUCGGUACAUCGGUGACAGGUGGUGCAUGGUUGUCGUCAGCUCGUGUCGUGAGAUGUUGGGUUAAGUCCCGCAACGAGCGCAACCCCUAUUGUUAGUUGCCAUCAUUCAGUUGGGCACUCUAGCGAGACUGCCGGUAAUAAACCGGAGGAAGGUGGGGAUGACGUCAAAUCAUCAUGCCCCUUAUGACCUGGGCUACACACGUGCUACAAUGGUUGGUACAACGAGUUGCGAGUCGGUGACGGCGAGCUAAUCUCUUAAAGCCAAUCUCAGUUCGGAUUGUAGGCUGCAACUCGCCUACAUGAAGUCGGAAUCGCUAGUAAUCGCGGAUCAGCACGCCGCGGUGAAUACGUUCCCGGGCCUUGUACACACCGCCCGUCACACCACGAGAGUUUGUAACACCCGAAGU